GAUGAACGCUGGCGGCGUGCCUAAUACAUGCAAGUCGAGCGAACGGACGAGAAGCUUGCUUUUCUGAUGUUAGCGGCGGACGGGUGAGUAACACGUGGAUAACCUACCUAUAAGACUGGGAUAACUUCGGGAAACCGGAGCUAAUACCGGAUAAUAUUUUGAACCGCAUGGUUCAAAAGUGAAAGACGGUCUUGCUGUCACUUAUAGAUGGAUCCGCGCUGCAUUAGCUAGUUGGUAAGGUAACGGCUUACCAAGGCAACGAUGCAUAGCCGACCUGAGAGGGUGAUCGGCCACACUGGAACUGAGACACGGUCCAGACUCCUACGGGAGGCAGCAGUAGGGAAUCUUCCGCAAUGGGCGAAAGCCUGACGGAGCAACGCCGCGUGAGUGAUGAAGGUCUUCGGAUCGUAAAACUCUGUUAUUAGGGAAGAACAUAUGUGUAAGUAACUGUGCACAUCUUGACGGUACCUAAUCAGAAAGCCACGGCUAACUACGUGCCAGCAGCCGCGGUAAUACGUAGGUGGCAAGCGUUAUCCGGAAUUAUUGGGCGUAAAGCGCGCGUAGGCGGUUUUUUAAGUCUGAUGUGAAAGCCCACGGCUCAACCGUGGAGGGUCAUUGGAAACUGGAAAACUUGAGUGCAGAAGAGGAAAGUGGAAUUCCAUGUGUAGCGGUGAAAUGCGCAGAGAUGUGGAGGAACACCAGUGGCGAAGGCGACUUUCUGGUCUGUAACUGACGCUGAUGUGCGAAAGCGUGGGGAUCAAACAGGAUUAGAUACCCUGGUAGUCCACGCCGUAAACGAUGAGUGCUAAGUGUUAGGGGGUUUCCGCCCCUUAGUGCUGCAGCUAACGCAUUAAGCACUCCGCCUGGGGAGACGACCGCAAGGUUGAAACUCAAAGGAAUUGACGGGGGCCCGCACAAGCGGUGGAGCAUGUGGUUUAAUUCGAAGCAACGCGAAGAACCUUACCAAAUCUUGACAUCCUUUGACAACUCUAGAGAUAGAGCCUUCCCCUUCGGGGGACAAAGUGACAGGUGGUGCAUGGUUGUCGUCAGCUCGUGUCGUGAGAUGUUGGGUUAAGUCCCGCAACGAGCGCAACCCUUAAGCUUAGUUGCCAUCAUUAAGUUGGGCACUCUAAGUUGACUGCCGGUGACAAACCGGAGGAAGGUGGGGAUGACGUCAAAUCAUCAUGCCCCUUAUGAUUUGGGCUACACACGUGCUACAAUGGACAAUACAAAGGGCAGCGAAACCGCGAGGUCAAGCAAAUCCCAUAAAGUUGUUCUCAGUUCGGAUUGUAGUCUGCAACUCGACUACAUGAAGCUGGAAUCGCUAGUAAUCGUAGAUCAGCAUGCUACGGUGAAUACGUUCCCGGGUCU
rnacentral:rRNA from 1 species